rnacentral:misc_RNA from 1 species
UAUUACAGUCAUAAUAGCAGUGGCACUCUCAAUAAAACCAUAACUUUAAUCGAUUUACCAAGACUAUUUCAUAUUUAAUGAAGUUUUGCGAUGUUUAUGUAUUUUACGUUAACAAUAAUAAUAUCUGUAAUCACGUAUACAAUCAAUCAGACACUUAAUCCAACGUUACGACCACACGAAGCUAUACAAUUCCAGAAUUGGUAUAUGGCAAGGGUCACUGACACUCUACCCUUGAUGGAGACCAUAAAGAACUGCAACUGCCCAAGGGUAUACCUUCCAGUUUGUGGCUCAGAUAAUAAGACGUAUACUAACGUAUGUUGGUUGAACUGUAUGAACUUGAAAAGAGCAACAGAUGUGGUUGAGUCAUAUGAAGGUCAUUGCUUACAAUUUCUUCAGCCGUUUGAAUAUUAAGGCACAAUUUCUAAUACUUUAAUGUCUUGUAAAUUAAAUGAUACGUGUAAUUUACUCU